UGUGAAAUUGUUGAAAGGGAAGCGCUUGCAGCCAGACUUGCCUGUAGUUGCUCAUCCGGGUUUUUACCCGGUGCACUCUUCUACGGGCAGGCCAGCAUCAGUUUGGGCGGUUGGAUAAAGGUCUCUGUCAUGUACCUCCUCUCGGGGAGAACUUAUAGGGGAGACGACAUGCAACCAGCCCGGACUGAGGUCCGCGCAUCUGCUAGGAUGCUGGCGUAAUGGCUGUAAGCGGCCCGUCUUGAAACACGGACCAAGGAGUC
rnacentral:rRNA from 1 species